rnacentral:rRNA from 1 species
CCUACGGGAGGCAGCAGUCGAGAAUCAUUCACAAUGGGGGAAACCCUGAUGGUGCGACGCCGCGUGGGGGAAUGAAGGUCUUCGGAUUGUAAACCCCUGUCAUGUGGGAGCAAAUUAUAAAGAUAGUACCCCAAGAGGAAGAGACGGCUAACUCUGUGCCAGCAGCCGCGGUAAUACAGAGGUCUCAAGCGUUGUUCGGAAUCACUGGGCGUAAAGCGUGCGUAGGCUGUUUCGUAAGUCGUGUGUGAAAGGCGCGGGCUCAACCCGCGGACGGCACAUGAUACUGCGAGACUAGAGUAAUGGAGGGGGAACCGGAAUUCUCGGUGUAGCAGUGAAAUGCGUAGAUAUCGAGAGGAACACUCGUGGCGAAGGCGGGUUCCUGGACAUUAACUGACGCUGAGGCACGAAGGCCAGGGGAGCGAAAGGGAUUAGAUACCCCUGUAGUC